GAUGAACGCUAGCGGCAGGCUUAAUACAUGCAAGUCGUGGGGCAGCAGGACUGUAGCAAUACAGUUGCUGGCGACCGGCACACGGGUGCGGAACACGUCCGCCACUUACCCUGAACUGGGGGAUAGCCCGGGGAAACCCGGAUUAAUACCCCGUAAUAUACUGGAGUGGCAUCACUUUAUUAUUAAAGCUCCGGCGGUUCGGGAUGGGCGUGCGGCUGAUUAGGUAGUUGGUUGAGGUAACGGCUCACCAAGCCUACGAACAGUAACUGGUGUGAGAGCACGACCAAUCACACGGGCAAUGAGACACGGGCCCGACACCGACGGGAGGCAGCAGUAAGGAAUAUUGGGCAAUGGAGGCAACUCUGACCCAGCCAUGCCGCGUGGAAGAUGAAGGCCCUCUGGGUUGUAAACUUCUUUUAUAGGGGACGAAACCUGUGUAUUCUUACGCAGUUGACGGUACCCUAGGAAUAAGCCCCGGCUAACUCCGUG
rnacentral:rRNA from 1 species